AGCUUUUUUAAAUGGUUUGGUUAUGCAGCGGAGGACACAAUGGGGUUUGAUCAGGAUUUGGUUGGUGAUCUGAUCAAGGGGGACUUAUGGGUUAAUCCCAUUGAACAUCUUAACCAUGUAACGCUUGCACUAUUUCUCUUUUAUUUCUAUCUCUCUCUCUAAUAUGAUUUUAUUAUUGGUUUUUCUAACUACCUUGUUAUCUCGUUAUUUAGGAAGAUGAAGCGUAAAGGGGGAUGACGAAGAUGAUGACUGAGUUUCUUUGGAUACCCUUUAGGAUUAUGUUUUUAAAUCGAACAAAGAGUAACUUUAAGACUUCUUAAACCUAUUUCGUUUGAAUCUUUCUGUUUUACUGUCUGCUAUUGGCAUUGUUUUAUAUUUCAUGUUUUAUCU